AGGAGAGAAGAGGUACCUGCAGAAGUAAUGUAAAUCUGGAGGAGGAUGUAAAUUCUUGGAGAAGUCAAAAGUCACAGUAAUUUGAGAAAUCACCAACAACAAUUCAUCAGUCACAUCUGCAAGUUCUUUCAGUGCCCUGGAAUGUACUUUUGGACCUGGUGACUUGAACCUCACUGAGAGCAUUUAGCUCUUACCAUCUCUUCAGUCAUUGUGUAUCCUUUGAUGCUAAUGCAGGAGACCGAGGACAGACCAAUAACGCAGCAUCAGCUUCAGCCUCCAACUCCACCUGAACCAGCACCAGGCAGCCAGCUAUGCGGGAAAGCUCGCCGGCCACUUGGGUUUCACUCAGCAACACUGGUCACGUUGGGAAAGAAAAUUAAAGAGAAAAAAAAACCUUGUUCAUUUUAGAGUUCAAUUUUUUAUUAUUGUUGUUCUUAUUUAACCUUGUAAAAUAUCUAUAAAUACAAACCAGUUUCAUUGUAUUCUCACUUUGAGGGAUUUCCAGGGGUUCGGGAGGGGUCGUGGGGAGGGGACAAACGGAGCAAUAGAACAUAAAAUAACUCCCACGACAAUCUUUUUUAUGAAAAGUCUGCUGUUAUGUACUCUAAAAGCAGGACUCUUGCCUCAUGCCCCCUUCCACAAAAGAAGAAAACUGUUCUGUGCUGAAGUUUGGGGAACUUUCUUUUCUUUUUUUCAGUCAAAGUGUCAGACAUUGGUAUAGUGCACAGCUUGAAUUUGGUUGGGAGCUUAGCAGGUGUAAUUCAUUGGGGGCUUCAGUGUUGCUUGUAAAAUUAAUCCAUAUCCUAGGGUAUUUGAAGAAUUGCCUUUGGCAUGUUGGGGUGGGUGUGGCAGAUAUAAUAUGAAAUGUGUCACAUCCAUCACCAAGGGAGGCAAUUAACUUUCAAGUUUGGAGCUACACGUGGAAUGUUUUCAGGGGGGUUGCUUAUUUUUUUUUAAUUUUGCUCUUACAUCAGGGUGAGAGAAACCUACAGUGUCACACAUGAUAGAAAGUUGUCAGAUGAGAAGAAGCAAGCCAGAGUUUAGCUCUAUUAGCUGGACAAGAGGAUGCUUGUUUGGCUGACUGGAGGCUCACUGCCAAAUCUCAGCCUAGCUUUCAAGUAGUGAUCUAGAAAAGCUAAAGGAAAAAUAAAGUUAGGUGAGCCAGUCUGGUCUGCAGAAGAGAAAAGCAGGUGAUGAACUGUGUCCUAUGGGAAGGGGACAGCUGAGGGGCUCUGGCAAAUGGCCACUGUGAAUAUAUUUUUCCAGGUUUUGCUCUGAAAUUGCUUCCCUUGCAAAGAUACACCAUGAGAGGACACUAUAGUUUAUAAUGUGAACUGUAACAGUCUACUGGUUUAUUUUUCAUAAUUUUUUAUUGAAAGUUGAGCUUGCAAAUUGCCACAUUCUAUACAUAGUUCUAAUUUUAAAUCCAAAUCUAGAAUCUAUAUUUAAUUUCAUCCUUUUUUAACCUCAUGCUUUUUUAAUUUUAUUUAUUGAUGCAUGUCAGAUACGCCAUUAUGAUAUUAAAAUGGUAAAAAUAUUAAUAAACUAGGCAUCAAAAUUAUAUAAAAAGUACUUGUACCUGCUGACUUAUAGGAAAGCUGAUUAUAUAAAUGUGUGUAUAUAUAUUAUAUAUAUACAUGUAUACAUAUAUUCAAUACUGCUUUUUUAUUUUUUGUCUACAAUAUCAAAAUUGUCUGAUUGAAGCAUGAGAAGAAUGCUUUUUCUUUUCCAGUUAAUUAUCUUGUUCUGUUUUCUUUCUGUAUCAGUGAAUGAUGUCAGAAUCAAAGUCUCUGUUUUUGAAGUAAAAGCAAUAUUCCUCAGAAAGCCAGGAGGGUAGAUGGAUUAUAUUUGCAAUGUAGAAAUAGUGUUUUCAGAACUGGUCUGUUUUAUACUUGUGAGUUUGGUGUCCACGUGGGCCUUAUAUACUCACUAAAAUGAACCUUAGUCACCUUGGUGCUUAUGGGCCAUUACUUGACCUGUGACUCUUUAAGGCACAAUCAGUUGUAUUUUACAUUUAAAGAUCAUUUUAAGUGAUGGCCCCUUCCCUCCUGCCUACCCUUCCUCAAACACCUUCCAAGGAUAAACUAGCAACAGCAGAGCUGGCUGCAAAGUUACUGCUAGGAGACAGGAAGGGUGGAGGCUUAUCUCUUCCCGAGAUUCAAUUUGCCCUCACCCUCCUCAUUGCUACAGGAAGUCAUGUAGGGAUUUGAAUGUCUCACCUUCCAACUCAUUUAGAAGAUUAGUCUCUUAGUAGUCCUGGAAAUGGGCACUGCCACUGCCCUGCUGUUUGACAAAUAGGGUGUCUGAGAGAUGGUUGCCUCCUGCUGAGAUGAACUGAUACCCAGAAAGAAAACUAUGAGCCAUCUUAGUUUUCACUCAUUCAGCAAUGCUCUUUGGGGUGUUUGAAAGCUCUGGGUAUAGCAUAGUAGAGAAAAGAAAAACACACACACGCGCACACACACACACACACACCUCCCCAAAAAAAGCCCUCACAACUAUUCUUAGUUUGAUUAGCUAUAAUAAUUAGAAUCUGAAAGAAGUCUGAAUUCAUGAAACUUGCCAGCAGAAUCCCAUAAAGGGAAAUAGGGCUUUGAUAAUAAGUUUCCCAAAAGAAUUUAUAGAAGAUUUAAAAGGCAGGUUAGUGACUAAUAAUGGAUGUGCUUUAAGACAAUGCCCAGCCACAGAUUUGGAGACAGACAUUACUCUGGACUUGGAUAGUAUUUUCCAAAGUCCAUAAAAUCACUGCUUAUAUCAGGAAACACUUUGUGUCUUUUUUUCCCUGAGGAUGGAAAGAGGAGGAGGAGGAAGAAGAAGAGGGAAAUGUAAGCGCUUUUCUCUCAUUUUUAUUUUAUUUUGUGUGUGUGAGGGCUGAGGUCCGGUGAUUUUACUUUCUCAAGGAUCAUGACAGGAUCCCAGAACUCUUUUAUACAAGUGAGAUCCAGGUCUCUGAAUAUCUUUUUGUAAAUAAUAAUAAUAAUAAUAAUAAUAAAAAGCUCCUCACCAAAUUCAAGCUUGUACAUUAUAUUUUCUUUUGAUGUUUUUAAAUUUAAGUUUUAUUGUUUUGUAUGUAAAUAUGUGGACCCAGGAACUGUUAUUAAUGAGCAAAAAGUUACUGUUCAGGGCAGUGAUUCUGUUUAAUAAUCAGACAAAAUGUAGACGAGCUUUUUAAAGCCAUAUAGUUUUAACUCUGUACAGUAGGUACCGGCCUGUAUUAUUGUAACAAUAACUCUAGCAAUGUAUAGUGUAUCUAUAUAGUUUGGAGUGCCUUCGCUUCCAUGGUUCGUUUUUGGUUCUGUUUUUUGUUUUGUUUUGUUUUAUAAUUUUGUUUCCCUUUUCUGUGUCCCCAUUCCCUCUUUUAAGUAAUGUCUCACAAAGCAGCAUUUAGCCCUUCCCACAGCUGUUAUGAGUGCUGUUAAGGUUUCAGUGAUACCAUGCUUAGUAGUGGAAAGAGAGGAAACCAUGUUAUAACUCAUUUUACUCACACCCUGACUUUGUUUUGGCUCUGAGUGUUGGUUUCCUCCCGAGUAGCAGUGACCGGUUUCAUUAUUUCACACAUCACCCACCCAGCACCAAGUUGCCCUAAAGCUGGGGCAGGGAUCCAGCUAGAUUAGAUUUUGCUCGUCUUUCCCCAAGCCCUGCAUCCAGGGGUCUUGUGAACAGCAGAUUCUGGGAGU